GUCCUUGCCUGUGGCAUCUUUCCUAGAUACUCCUUUGGUGCUUUGCCCAAAUGAACCCCCCAAAAUAAAGGAGGAUUAUCCCUCUGCUGCCCAUCUGCAUCCUGGCUCUUGGCUCCUGUUACAGCACUAGAUUUUGCAAACUUUGCUUCUGCAUACACCCCAGGCUGCCCAUUUGCUGCUGCAGCGUUGUUGCCUACUGCGACCCCAGGUGAGCCCCGGUUACCUGAAGCUGCUUCCUGGGAGUCUGGGCAGGUCAGGCUUGCGUUUGGUGAAGACUCUGGGGAUGCGGCACAGUGCAAACCAGCCAGAGAGGUAGGUGAGAUGGAGCUCAGGAGGUGCCGUGAAGAGGAUGGAGCCUGCAGAGCUCGUGGCAGGGGAGGGCCAUGUACCUUUUCAAAGGGGCUCUUAUUCAUCAGCCCUUUUGCUCCCAGGAAGACCCAGUUGUCCCGGAAGCCCAGCUUGCCCACGUGGCUGCUGCCCAGCUCCGUGAAAUAUGCCUGUACUUUGUCAUUCAUCCUGAAAGAGGGUAAGAAGGUGUCAAUGUGAUGCCAGGCUAUUACAUGCAUGUAAAAGGAGAGAGAAGCCAGUCUUGGAUGUGGAAGCAUUCGGAGAACUCCAGGCUUGAUGGUCUCAGGAAAAGCUGGGCUUUUACCACCCAGGCUGGCAAGUCUGGUCAAAGUCCACUUGACUUUAUCAUUAAAUACAUGACAGAGAAGCAACGGAAGUAGCCAGCAGCCAGCAGUGCUGGUGUGAGCCCUGGCUGGGAACCGCCAAGGAGCAGAAUGACUGUGCUUACCUCCGGAGUACAUGUCGAAUGAGUCGGUUUUCAGGAGCUGCCCAGUUGUUCCUGAAAAGUUAAAAUUGAGAACAGAGCACAGUGAGUUUGCACUGGGGUGGCUCUAGGCUUUGCCUGGCCAUGAGCCUGGGGUUUCUUGCAAAAUGCUUUGCCCUUCCCUCAGUGUGUUGUAUCUGCUGCAAUGGUGACUGUGUUGCUUGGAGGAGUUUGUGGAGCUGGUUGUGCAUGACCCAGGUGGGUUUCUUCCCUUCUCACUGGCAAUGCUUGCAACCAUAAUUGUGGCUGUGCUCCCCAUGAAGCACCAGAUGGAUGUGCU